rnacentral:rRNA from 1 species
AGCUUGCUCUUAUGAUUAGUGGCGCACGGGUGAGUAAUAUAUAGGUAAUGUACCUCUUAGUCUGGGAUAGCCACUGGAAACGGUGAUUGAUACUGGAUACUCCUUUUCAUUUCAAGAUGAAUCGGGAAAGUUUUUCGUCUAAGAGAUCGGCCUAUAUCCUAUCAGCUAGUUGGUGAGGUAAUGGCUCACCAAGGCAAUGACAGGUAGCGGUUUGAGAGGAUGAUCCGCCACACUGGUACUGAGACACGGACCAGACUCCCU